ACAACCAGGAUGUUGGCUUAGAAGCAGCCACCAUUGAAAGAGUGCGUAAUAGCUCACUGGUCGAGUGACCCCGCGCCGAAAAUGUACCGGGGCUAAACAUAUUACCGAAACUGUGGAUGAACCUCUUUAGAGGUUCGUGGUAGGAGAGCGUUCUAAGGGCGGUGAAGUCAGACCGGAAGGACUGGUGGAGCGCUUAGAAGUGAGAAUGCCGGUAUGAGUAGCGAAAGAAGGG
rnacentral:rRNA from 1 species